ensembl:lncRNA LINC00964 long intergenic non-protein coding RNA 964
AACUGCCCAAGGUUGCCCUGCUGAUGUCAUGCCUGACCAUAUGACUUGCUCCAGCCAAUGAAAUGUAAGCAGAAGUGACAUAUGCAGCAUGACCAGUGGAAGCUUCGAAGAGCUAUUGCCAAUUUCCACCCUCUCUCUGGAAACUGUCAUUAGGGUUAGGGAAACUGUCAUGAGAUCUGCAUAUUUUAGAUAGAGGCUGCUUGCCUUAUUUGGGCACCUAAUGAAAAAGACAUGGAGGCCAGGUGCGGUGGCUCAUGUCUGUAAUCCCAGCACUUUGGGAGGCCAAGGCGAGUGGAUCACCUGAGGUCAGGAGUUCGAGACCAGCCUGACCAACAUGGCAAAACCCCGUCUGUACUAAAAGUGCAAACACAAAGGGAACUGCGUGGCUUGUUUCUACCUGAACAUUGUCAAGUGAUUUCAUCCUUUGAAACACAGUUGUGAAGUGUGUCCAGCAGUCUGAGAACAAGAAGAAGAAGAAAAUCUAAUCCUUCAGGGUGUCUGUGUGCCAGCCCUGCUCUCAGCACUUCCCAUGUGGAACUCCUUUACUUCUCCUAACAACUCCAUGACAUGGGUUAGACUGUGAUUGUUCCCAUAUUGUUGGUAGGGAAACUGAGGCAUGCAGGUGUUACAGAGCUCUCUCAAGUGGCAAGCUUUCUGGGUGGUUACAGAGUGGCAGAGCUGGGGUAUCCCAUGAUGUCACCACACUGCUAUAUGGAAAAGAACAUUAAUCGAGCACCUACGUGCUUGAUUCUCUUAAUUCUGUGACUGAACUCUCAAAACACCCUGGGUAAGCACUAUCAUCUCCUAUUUUCACAAGUGAAAAAACUGGGAUUCAAAAAAAUUAAGUGACUUACCAAAUAUUACAGAGCUAGUAAGCCAAGACUUGAACACUGAGAUGGAAUUCUACCUUUUAAGGUGGCUAAGCAACAGAAGGAUGUUCCUUUCCCAAGGGGAAUACUACUAAAGUCAUGCCGUGUGACUUCUGAAGCUAGCUCCUAAGAAGUCCUUGCAGCUUCUGCCUGCGACUCUUAGAACACUUGCUUUGAAGGAUGCCAGAUGCUGUCUUAAAAGUCUGAGCACUCUGAAACCAUCAUGCUGUGAGGAAGCCCAAGCUAACCACAUGGGCAAAAAAGAUGCCCUCUGACUGCCACCAUUUGAGACACUCUAAUUAAGAACUGCCUCAUUGAGCCCAUGAGGCCCUGUGAAUGAUAAUAAUAAAUUGUUUUUAACCACUAUGUUUUUGGAUUUGUUAUAAGUUUAUAGAUAACAAGAAAAAGUUAUAUUAGCAUGGUAAUAAAAUUAUGGAUAUGUGUAA